CCCUUAGAUGUUCUGGGCUGCACGCGCGCUACACUGAUGCGCUCAACGAGUUUUAACCUUGCCUGGAAAGGUUGGGUAAUCUUUUUAAAACGCAUCGUGAUGGGGAUAGAUUAUUGCAAUUAUUAAUCUUCAACGAGGAAUUCCUAGUAAGCGCGAGUCAUCAGCUCGUGCUGAUUACGUCCCUGCCCUUUGUACACACCGCCCGUCGCUCCUACCGAUUGAGUGGUCCGGUGAGGCUUUGGGAUCUGAGCAAAAAGAGCGUUUCGCUCGUUUGGCUCGGAAAACUCAGUCGAACCUUAUCAUUUAGAGGAAGGAGAAGUCGUAACA
rnacentral:rRNA from 1 species